GAAUUUGUCGUUGUUGGGAAGGGAUUUUGGUUUGGGCUUUUUUGUUUGUUGGAUUUUGGAAGAAAUGUUUGAUUUUGGUGCUUUGAGCUGUGAGGAUUCAGGGUUUGGAUCGUUUAGUCAUUGUUGGCCAUUCUAGUUUGUAUGUUUGAUUUCUUACGAGACGUUUGACUUUGGCGUUUUGAGCUGUGGGGAAUUCAGGGUUUGAAUUGCUCAAUCAUUUUCAGUUUUUUUAGUUUGGAUUUUAGUUUCGGUGUUUGGAAUUUCGAAGAUUUGUGUUUUGAAAGUUUUAUUUCGGCGUUUGGAUUUUCGAAGAUUUGUGCUUUGAAUGUUCCAUUGCGGCGUUUGGAUUUUCGAAGAUUUGUGCAUUGAAUGUAUAAUUUAGGUGUCUGGAUUUUGGAGAUUCUAGAGCACUUUUGGUUUGUAUGUCUGAUGUUGGUGUUUGGAUUUUUGAAGAUUUGUGGUUCUUGAUUGUUUUACAUGCUGUCAGUGAUUUUUGUUUGGGACUUUGGAUGUUUGACUUGUUUUGGUUUGUAUGUUUGAUUUCUUCAUUCGAAAUGUGACCUUUUGUGGCUUGAAUUAUUAAACUGGGGGUUAGCGAUAAUAGUUUAGAUGUCUGGUUUUGGCCAGUCGAUUUUUGAAGAUUUGUGGUUCUUGAUUGUCAGUGAUUUUUGUUUGGGACUUUGGAUGUUUGACUUGUUUUUUUUUUAUGUUUGAUUUCUUCAUUCGAAAUGUGACCAUUUGUGGCUUGAAUUGUUUCGAUGUCUGGUUUUGGUCAGUCGAUUUUUAAAGUUUUGUAGUUUGAAUUGUUCCACAGGUUGUCAGGUGUUUUAGUUUGUAUGUUUUACUUCACGGGAGUGAUUUUCCAUAAUUAGAAGCAAGAAGCCGAGUGGCGGUUCAUCCAGCGUUUGAAGGGCGAAAGGCUUUAUAAGAGUUGGCUUUCAGCAUUAUCAAAGAAAGUUUAUUAACGGCCAGGGUAGAAAACUAGACAUUAACUUAUGAACAUGGGAGCAUGGUAUAGUGUUAAAGAUUUGGUGUAAUACCAUCGAUUUAAUCUAAUGGGAUAAAAGCACUGGUCGAUUUGUUGACUAUAUUUGCAAGGAUAAUGGUGCAUUGGACAAGUAAAAGUUCGUUUGACAAGGGCAGGGUUUGGACGUGCAUGAAUCGAAGCUAUUUUAAGUACUUCAACGGACAUUAAUUAGUAAAAGAGAAUAAAAAAAUUACUGCAGUGGAGGAACUCAGUCUUGGACCUCCUACCGUGAGUCUGAGGCAUUUUUUUAGAAGGGGGAAUCGAGGUUCUGUAUGUGUGAAGGAUGCUGCAGCUCAGGGCCAGGGAUCUCCAUUGUCAAACAAAAACAGGUUUUCGACAUGCCUGUCCGUAGGUCAGAUUACGUACCGCUGAACCAGGUGCUUGAUGAUUCUUCCAACGUGCAGAAUAAUCCCCGAAGGCAGUCACAGCCACAGUCUCAGUACGACCCUCACCGGCGGCAUUUGAGUGCAGACAGGGUUCCAUUUGAUGAUUUUGAUGAAGAUAGGCUUAGCAAGCCUCCUCUUCCAUUAAAUACAGAUGUGAGGAAUAAUAAUAAUAAUAAUAGUAAUAAUAAUAAUAGCAGGGAUCUGUUUUAUUAUGAUGACAGGAACGCUGUUGGGGUAAUUGAGAAUUCAAACUAUAAUGAAUGGACACCGACAUCUUCUAGACCGGGGUUUUACACUGAUAGAAAGUCUCUGCACUCCUCUGUAGAUCCUGUGAAUUUAAUUGAAUAUUGGAAACAUGCUUAUUCAGAAAACCAUGUAAUUGAGCACAGAAAAUCUGCUUAUUCACAGCCAGACCGAGUAAUUGACCAGCAUAGAAAACUUCAGCAACAGCCUUAUACGCCACCUGAACAUUCAAAUCUAAAACAGACUUAUUCCCCAACAGAACAUAGGAAGCCACUGUCGUAUUCUCUUACUGAGUAUGGAAAUGAACAGAGGAAGCCAGGACAAGGACCGACCUUUUGGUCUGCAGAUCAUUCAGAAGAUCAUGGCUUACAGAGGGGGAAUAAUUCAAAUGCAUGGUUUGGUGAUCGGAACUCAACUGGGAGUAACAGUAGGGUUCAUGGCACAUCAUCAUCUGGGUUGCAGAGGCAGUCAAGCGGAAGCAGCUAUGCUGACAGUUUUCUUUCAGGGGAUUUCCCCCUACCAACUCUCUCACCUCCCAUGUCUUUGAAUGCCAGUGAUUCUGCCUUCAUUAAUGCACUUUAUGAGGAGGGAUGUAAGUAUGAUGAUCCCAGAAUUGGGGGUAAGUAUAGCAAUGGCUCUGCAAAGAGUUGGGCACAGCAGACUGAAGAGAGCUAUAAUUUGCAGCUUACUCUUGCACUCCGGCUUACUGCAGAAGCAUCCUUGACAGAUGAACUUCAUUUCCUUGUCAAUGAUUUUCAAGGAGCCCCUAAUAACACAUCUAUAGAUUCUGUUAAAACAUCGGAAGGUGCAUCUCAUCGUUUUUGGGUAAAUGGCAGCUUAUCAUAUCAUGACAAAAUAGAAAAUGGAUUUUACCAUAUUUGGGGGAUGAACCCAUAUGUUUGGACAAUAUGCAACAAAUUAGAUGAAGGUCAUCAGAUGCCGUCCUUAGAAUCACUGAAAUCAGUCGAUGCAACCGAUUCAUCAAUGGAGGUCGUUGUGAUAGAUAAGCAGGGUGAUUCACACCUCCGGGAGCUUGAGAACAAGGCACUUGCGCUGGCUUAUGGCUGUAGUAACAAUAGACAAGUUGUUGGAGAACUUGGGAAACUUGUUUGCAUGCUGAUGGGGGGUGCAUCUUUGACGGAGCAUGGAGAUCUUAUGACACGUUGGAAAGUAAGCAGUCAAAUGCUGAGAGACUGUUUAAAUAAUAUUGUCCUUCCAAUAGGCAGCUUAUCUGUGGGUCUGUGCAGGCACCGGGCUUUACUUUUCAAGGCAUUGGCAGAUAUGGUUAACUUACCUUGUCGGAUUGUUCGAGGAUGCAAAUAUUGUGGGAUGGCUGAUGGCUGCUCAUGUCUGGUUCAAUGUGACGUUGAAAGGGAAUAUUUAGUUGAUUUAAUUGGAUCACCAGGAGAAUUGAGUGAUCCAGUAUCUUUUUUCAGUGGUUUGACCUUUUUGUCAAUUGCUUCACCUUUGCGCAUGCCAGAAUUCAAAUCAUUUCAUAUGACUGAUGAGGUUAGGUCUUUAGCAAAGCAGUAUACCCAAGAAAGCCAAUCAAUGAGUGAUUUAAUCGAUGCUGCCACCUCACUUCAGGUUGCAGGUCCACUAGAGGAUAGAAGUAGCAUUGUUGGCUCUUCAGAACAAGUAACUAUUGAACCACUGGGUUCCUCUCCUAUUACAUGCACAUGCACAAAACCAACUACAGAAGGUUUAGAUGCUACAAAUGUUGCAGGCAAUAUGCCCACGGUUAAGAUAAAAAAACCAGACGAAGAGUUGACAAAGAAAGUGGAUGAAAUGAAAGCUUCUAAAAAACGUAUGGUUGCAACAGACAUAAAGCCUCCUGUUUUACCAGAUUUUUCUGCAGCUCUAGGUGUGGGGAAUGCAAAAAUACAUCUAGCAGAUAAUACAAGGAAUAUUGAUUCUCAGAGGAUUCCAGGGAUUCCCCCCUCUGGUGGUGAUCACCUUCAGCACAGACAUUUACCAGUGCAUCUGAAGGGAGAUAUGAUUUCCAAAACUCAUAUUCAAAAUUCUUCUGAGAACGAUAAAUUCUUAGUUGAACAUGGACAAAUCACUAGUGCAGAAUGUCCUCAGGAAACAGUAUUGUCAUCUCAGAUGCAGAGAGAUUUGCUACCUAAGUUACAGGUUUCUCAUCAAAAGGGUGAUGAUGGGAGACUCAAGCAGUCUGGAAGUGCACUGCAAAGCCGAUCAAAUCUUGAGUAUUCUUUGGCAAUGGAUGGUUUGGAAAUUCCAUGGGAAGAUCUUAUAUUGAAGGAGCGUAUUGGUUCUGGCUCUUUUGGCACGGUGCAUCAUGCUGAUUGGCGUGGUUCGGAUGUUGCUGUGAAGAUCCUCAUAGAUCAAGAUUUAUAUGAAGAGCGACUUAAGGAGUUCCUGAGAGAGGUUGCAAUCAUGAUACGUUUGCGACAUCCAAAUGUUGUCCUUUUCAUGGGUGCUGUAACAAAGCGUCCCAACUUGUCAAUUGUGACUGAAUAUUUACCAAGGGGAAGCUUGUAUCGUCUUAUUCAUAGAGCAGGACAAAGGGAGUUACUGGAUGAAAGGCGACGAUUGCGAAUGGCACUAGAUGUGGCCAAGGGAAUAAACUAUUUACAUCGGUAUGACCCUCCUAUUGUUCAUCGAGAUCUGAAGUCUCCUAAUUUAUUGGUUGACAAGACGUGGAAAGUGAAGGUUUGUGAUUUUGGUUUAUCACGAUUCAAGGCAAAUACAUUCAUCUCUUCCAAAUCUGCAGCGGGAACGCCUGAAUGGAUGGCUCCUGAAGUGCUUCGUGAUGAACCAUCCAAUGAGAAAUCUGAUGUCUAUAGUUUUGGUGUAAUUCUUUGGGAACUUGUCACUAUGCAGCAACCGUGGAGUGGCUUAAGUCCAGCUCAGGUUGUUGGAGCUGUUGGUUUUCAAAACAGGAGGCUUGCAAUUCCACCAGAUAUGCACCCUGAAAUAGCUUCCUUAAUUGAGGCUUGCUGGGCCAAUGACCCAAGACAGCGACCGAGUGUUUCAAAUAUUAUGGAUUCUUUAACAGCAUUGCUAAAGCCUUCAGCCGCACAACCUGUUCAUGGUGGGAAGUCAUAACUUUCUUCACUUCAAAGGCGUGCAUAUAAAGGGCGUGUCAUUUUCCUUGUUGUAGUAACUUCAGGCGGUUUUUUUCUAGUUUUGAGAUUUUGGAUUUUGUCGAUGACAGCUUAUUGUAAGGUGGAUAGGUUGUUGAAGUGCAAAGAAUUUGCAUGUUGGAUCUUGCUAUAGCGGCAAAUGUAAAUUAAAAAAUUCAUUUCUUAUUCUUUUGAGCCAUCUUCUCAGUCUUUGCUCAGUGUACUCUGUAAAUUUGAGAGCAAUUCUUGCUUUGAAGUAAUAGACUCAAAGAGAGUUGGCUUGUUGGUUCAGAAAUAAUAUUUAACCUUUAUGCCUCUCAUUACAUUCACAAUUAAUUUUUAGCACAAAUGGUUUGGCGUCA